rnacentral:rRNA from 1 species
GACGAACGCUGGCGGCGUGCCUAACACAUGCAAGUCGAACGGGGACUAUGUUUUCGGAUAUAGUUCUAGUGGCGAACGGGUGAGUAAUGCGUGAGCAACCUGCCUUUCAGAGGGGGACAACAGUUGGAAACGACUGCUAAUACCGCAUGACGUAUUAAGGGGACAUCCCCAUGAUACCAAAGGAGCAAUUCGCUGAAAGAUGGGCUCACGUCUGAUUAGUUAGUUGGUAGGGUAACGGCCUACCAAGACUGCGAUCAGUAGCCGGACUGAGAGGUUGAACGGCCACAUUGGGACUGAGAUACGGCCCAGACUCCUACGGGAGGCAGCAGUGGGGAAUAUUGGGCAAUGGGCGAAAGCCUGACCCAGCAACGCCGCGUGAAGGAAGAAGGCCUUCGGGUUGUAAACUUCUUUUAUGAGGGAAGAAAAAAAUGACGGUACCUCAUGAAUAAGCCACGGCUAACUACGUG